GAUGAACGCUGGCGGCGUGCCUAAUACAUGCAAGUCGAGCGAACAGACGAGGAGCUUGCUCCUCUGACGUUAGCGGCGGACGGGUGAGUAACACGUGGAUAACCUACCUAUAAGACUGGGAUAACUUCGGGAAACCGGAGCUAAUACCGGAUAAUAUAUUGAACCGCAUGGUUCAAUAGUGAAAGACGGUUUUGCUGUCACUUAUAGAUGGAUCCGCGCCGCAUUAGCUAGUUGGUAAGGUAACGGCUUACCAAGGCAACGAUGCGUAGCCGACCUGAGAGGGUGAUCGGCCACACUGGAACUGAGACACGGUCCAGACUCCUACGGGAGGCAGCAGUAGGGAAUCUUCCGCAAUGGGCGAAAGCCUGACGGAGCAACGCCGCGUGAGUGAUGAAGGUCUUCGGAUCGUAAAACUCUGUUAUUAGGGAAGAACAAAUGUGUAAGUACCUAUGCACGUAUUGACGGUACCUAAUCAGAAAGCCACGGGUAACAACGUG
rnacentral:rRNA from 1 species